AACCUUCUUCAAUUUUCCUUUCACUUUCUCUCUUUCCAUCACUUUCUCGUUCCUCCCCUUCGGAUUUUCUCAUCUCGCCCGAGAAACUGAUAUAGACUCAGACACACAAUAUCCGUUUUCCCCCUUCACAGCAGCAAUAACAAUGGAGGAUAAGCACGCAUCUGCGUUCGAAUCCGCUGCCGCCGAAUCCAACGGUGUCUCCUCCGCUGCCUCUCACGGCGCCGACCAUGGCUGGCAGAAGGUCACCUACGCCAAGCGACAGAAGAAGAAGCCGAACAAGGCUGACGCCGCUAACGAUUCGCGCGCCAAUUCCAAUAAGCUCGCCUCCAACGGCAUGCUCUCCGGCUCCGAUGGCGUUUUCAGGUCGCUGGAGCUUCAGUCGGAGGACCGACGCCGGAGAAUUCUUGAGGCGCGGAGGGUGGCCGAAGAAGGAUUCGACGAUGCUCCUGUCAGAUCGAGGCAGCGGACUCGUGAUUACAACGAUUACGAUUCCGACGAUGAUGACGAGACGGAUCGUCACGCAGAGAACGGGAAAGCGGAGGAGGCGAAGAAGGUGAAGGAGAAGAAGCCGAAGAAGCCGAAGGUGACGGUGUCGGAGGCCGCCUCGAAGAUCGACGCAGCUGAUCUGGGAGCUUUUCUUGUUGAUAUAUCGUCAUCGUACGAGAAGCAGCAGGAUAUACAAAUGAUGCGGUUUGCAGAUUAUUUCGGACGUGCUUUUUCUGCUGUUAACGCUUCCCAGUUUCCAUGGGUGAAGUUGUUCAGGGAGUCACCAGUGGCUAAGAUUGUUGAUGUUCCAUUUUCUCACAUACCUGAUGCUGUUUAUAAGACAUCGGCAGAUUGGAUCAACCAACGUUCCCCUGAAGCACUUAGUUCCUUUGUGCUUUGGGCUUUAGACAGCAUUCUUGCUGACUUAGCUAGCCAACAGACUGUUGCCAAGGGUUCCAAAAAGGCUGUGCAACAAGUGUCAUCAAAAUCUCAGGUUGCAAUAUUUGCUGUUUUGGCAAUGGUAUUGCGUCGGAAGCCUGAUGUUCUUAUUGCUGUGUUGCCAUCAUUGAGGGACAAUACCAAGUAUCAAGGGCAAGAUAAGCUUCCAGUGAUUGUAUGGAUGAUAACUCAGGCUUCAGUAGGAGAUCUGUCAGUAGGGUUGUUUGCUUGGUCACGGAAUCUCCUACCUAUAGUGACUAGCAAAAGUGGAAACCCACAAUCUAGGGAUUUGGUUUUGCAGCUGGUUGAGAAGUAUGUACUUUAAAAAAAAAAUUGAAAUGUUUUCUCAACGUUGGUGUAAUUGAUAAUUUUAUUUACUCUAUAUUCUACUUUUAUGUAGGCUACUGAAAGAUUUGAGGCCAUAUAUCCCACUCUGAAAGAGGUGGCUCUUGGUGGUUCCCCGGGAAGUAAAUCAAUGAAGCAAGUUGGACAGCAGAUGUUCAAUUUCGCUAUCAAAGCAGCAGGAGAAAAUAAUCCUGAGUUGUCCAAAGAAGCAGCUGGUAUCUGUAUUUGGUGUUUCAGCCAGAGCACUGAGUGCUACAAGCAAUGGGAACGAGUUUAUCAGGACAACAUUGAAGCAAGCGUUUCAGUUCUGAAGAAGCUUUCUGAUGAUUGGAAGGAGCAAUCAGCAAAAUUGUCUCCUUAUGAGGCACUAAGGGAUACACUGAAGGGUUUUAAAAUAAAGAAUGAGAAAGUAUUGACUACUGGGACAGAUUCUCGCCAAGCACUCUUCAAGGAUGCAGAUAAAUAUUGUAAGAUAAUAUUAGGAAGAGUUACCCGAAGCCAUGGUUGCACAGCAUGUUUGACCGUUACAGUCCUUGCUCUGGCUGUGGGAUUUGUGUUCUUGUCCCCCAACUUGGAGUCGUGGGAUGUUCAGAAGCUCUCUGCGGUUUUCAACCCUCAGCAGUGAGCGCUCUGAAAAUAUUAUGCAUUGCUGGCAGUUGGUUGCUCACACCCAAGCAGGAAAUUUCUUUCCAUCCGAAUCCCGUUGACAAAAUGGGUACAGUAGACCAAUUGCCUCAUAAUAAAGGGCAUAAUGCGGAGGUUGUACACUUGGUUCAGAUACUUUUCGGCAGAUACAGAAUAGUUGCGGUCGACACUGCUUUGAGCUUUACUCUAGUUUGACCAUUUUAUAAUUUAUUUCAUGUUGUUUUGGUUGAGUUCCCAAAUUUUAGUUAUUUUAAUGCCUUACAUUAACCAUGCGGCAAAAUGCCAUAGGUAAUUACAGUGUAUUCUGAAGUGAGUUUAGUUGAAUCAAA